ACUCCAUGGUGUGGACAUUUUCGCUGCAAAUCCUUGAAUCUUUCCCAGGCAUCAUGAAGCGUUUCGUUGUCACAUUGCUUAAAACUAGUGAUGUCAGUUCUAAGCUU
rnacentral:snoRNA from 1 species